rnacentral:rRNA from 1 species
AACGAACGCUGGCGGCAGGCCUAACACAUGCCAGUCGAGCGAGGACUUCGGUCCUAGCGGCGGACGGGGGAUGAACGCGGGGUAACUUGCCCGUGGCUUCGCAAUAGCUGUGGGAAACUUGGAUUAAUACCGGAGGAGCCCAUUGGGGGUAAGAUUUAUCGGUGAAUGCUCGGCGCGCGUUGGAUUAGGUAGUUGGUGGGGUAAUGGCCUACCAACCAGACGAUGCAUAGCUGGUGUGAGAGGAUGCUACGCCACGCUGGCGAUGAGACACGGCCCAGACUGCUACGGGAGGGAGCGGUGUGGAAUCUUAGGGAAUGGAGGCAACUGUAAUAUAGCCAUGCCGCGUAAGAGAUGCAGGCCUUAGGGUUGUAAAGCUCUUUGAGAUGGGAAGAUAAUGACGGUACCAGCAGAAGAAGCACCGGCUAACUCCGUG